rnacentral:rRNA from 1 species
CGGACGGGUGAGUAACGCGUGGAUAACCUGCCCCAUACCGGGGGAUAACAGCCGGAAACGGCUGCUAAUACCGCAUAAGCGCACGGGAAUGCAUGUUUCUGUGUGAAAAACUCCGGUGGUAUGGGAUGGAUCCGCGUCUGAUUAGCUGGUUGGCGGGGGUAGAGGCCCACCAAGGCGACGAUCAGUAGCCGACCUGAGAGGGUGGCCGGCCACAUUGGGACUGAGACACGGCCCAGACUCCUACGGAAGGCAGCAG